GUAGGGUGCAAGCGUUAAUCGGAAUUACUGGGCGUAAAGCGUGCGCAGGCGGUUUUGUAAGUCUGUCGUGAAAGCCCCGGGCUCAACCUGGGAAUUGCGAUGGAGACUGCAAGGCUUGAAUCUGGCAGAGGGGGGUAGAAUUCCACGUGUAGCAGUGAAAUGCGUAGAGAUGUGGAGGAACACCGAUGGCGAAGGCAGCCCCCUGGGUCAAGAUUGACGCUCAUGCACGAAAGCGUGGGGGGGAGCAAACAGGAUUAGAUACCCUGGUAGUCCACGCCCUAAACGAUGUCUACUAGUUGUCGGGUUUUAAUUAACUUGGUAACGCAGCUAACGCGUGAAGUAGACCGCCUGGGGAGUACGUCGCAAGAUUA
rnacentral:rRNA from 1 species